UUGAACGCUGGCGGUAUGCUUAACACAUGCAAGUCGAACGGCAGCACGAGAAAGCUUGCUUUCUUGGUGGCGAGUGGCGGACGGGUGAGUAAUGCAUAGGAAUCUACCUCGAAGCGGGGGAUAACCCGGGGAAACUCGGGCUAAUACCGCAUAAUCUCUACGGAGGAAAGCAGGGGAUCUUCGGACCUUGCACUUUGAGAUGAGCCUAUGUCAGAUUAGCUAGUUGGUAGGGUAAAGGCCUACCAAGGCAAUGAUCUGUAGCUGGUCUGAGAGGAUGACCAGCCACACUGGGACUGAGACACGGCCCAGACUCCUACGGGAGGCAGCAGUGGGGAAUAUUGCGCAAUGGGCGAAAGCCUGACGCAGCGACGCCGCGUGGGUGAUGAAGGCCUUCGGGUCGUAAAGCCCUGUCGCAGGGGAAGAAUAAGCAUCGGUAUAAUACGCCGGUGCCCUGACGGUACCCUGCAAGAAAGCACCGGCUAACUCUGUG
rnacentral:rRNA from 1 species